rnacentral:rRNA from 1 species
AAAGGAACUCGGCAAAAUGCCCCCGUAACUUCGGGAGAAGGGGGGCCCUUCGACGUGUAGGAGUUUACCUCCGAAGCGUUGGAAGGCCGCAGAGACCAGGCUCAAGCGACUGUUUACCAAAAACACAGGUCCGUGCGAAGUAGCAAUACGAUGUAUACGGACUGACGCCUGCCCGGUGCUGGAAGGUUAAGGGGACUGGUUAGCCGCAAGGCGAAGCUGAGAACUUAAGCCCCAGUAAACGGCGGUGGUAACUAUAACCAUCCUAAGGUAGCGAAAUUCCUUGUCGGGUAAGUUCCGACCUGCACGAAUGGCGUAACGACUUGAGCGCUGUCUCAUCCGUGAACUCGGCGAAAUUGCAUUACGAGUAAAGAUGCUCGUUACGCGCAGAAAGACGGAAAGACCCCGGGACCUUUACUAUAUCUUGAUAUUGGUGUUCGGAACGGUUUGUGUAGCAUAGGUGGGAGACUUUGAAGCGGGCACGCCAGUGUUUGUGGAGUCAUCGUUGAAAUACCACUCUGAUCGUUUUGAACUUCUAACCUCGGUCCGUAAUCCGGAUCAGGGACAGUGUCUGGUGGGUAGUUUGACUGGGGCGGUCGCCUCCUAAAAAGUAACGGAGGCGCUCAAAGGUUCCCUCAACCUGGUUGGCAAUCAGGUGUCGAGUGUAAGUGCACAAGGGAGCUUAACUGUGAGACAGACAUGUCGAGCAGGUGCGAAAGCAGGAACUAGUGAUCCGGCGGUGGCUUGUGGAAGCGCCGUCGCUCAACGGAUAAAAGGUACCCCGGGGAUAACAGGCUGAUCUUGCCCAAGAGUCCAUAUCGACGGCAAGGUUUGGCACCUCGAUGUCGGCUCGUCUCAUCCUGGGGCUGGAGUAGGUCCCAAGGGUUGGGCUGUUCGCCCAUUAAAGAGGCACGCGAGCUGGGUUCAGAACGUCGUGAGACAGUUCGGUCCCUAUCUUCUGUGCGCGCAGGAAACUUGAGAAGGGCUAACCCUAGUACGAGAGGACCGGGUUGGACGAACCUCUGGUGUGUCGGUUGUUCCGCCAGGAGCACCGCCGAUUAGCUACGUUCGGAAGGGAUAACCGCUGAAAGCAUCUAAGCGGGAAGCUCGCUUCGAGAUUAGGUUUCCCACUGGUUUACCAGGUAAGGCCCCCAGCUAGACGACUGGGUUGAUAGGCCGGAAGUGGAAGAGUCGCAAGACUUGGAGCUGACCGGUACUAAUAGGCCGAGGAUUU